AGCAGCCGCGGUAAUUCCAGCUCCAAUAGUAUAUAUUAAAGUUGUUGUGAUUAAAAGGCUCGUAGUUGAAUGAAGAUACUAUUGAAAAGGCUUUUCUUUUUAUACAAAAAGAGAAGUUUAGUGAAACAAUAGAAGAAGGAAAUGGAUUACUUUGAAUAAAAUAGAGUGUUUAAAGCAAAACAAUGUUAAUGAAUAAUGAAGCAUGGGACAAUAAGAAGGAGAUUUGAAAGGAUUUCGAGAAGAAGAUUAAAAGGAAUAAUUGGGGUAAUUUAGAAAAAGAUGGGAGAGGUGAAAAUCCAUGAUCAUCUUUAGAUAAACGAGAGCGAAAGCAUUUUACUCAAUUAUAUUCAUUAAUCAAGAACGAAAGUUA
rnacentral:rRNA from 1 species